UUUUUUUAUUAAAAAUGUAUGACUCUAUAACUUUUAGACCGUGAGGCCAAACUUGACAUGUAAUACAUUUUCGGAAAGCCAAAAGAGAGCUCUCCGAUGAAUGAGGAAUCGCAAUGGAAUUCUUCCAUUGUUUUUUUUUCUAUUCCAAAUUUGGACCUUAAUGUACUUUUUCAGGCCUUUUCGUGAUCUUUGCUAUAUUACGGAGCAAACAUUAUAUGUUCGGACAUUGUUUUCGAAUAUUUUGCAUGUAUCAAAGCUCUUAUAAACAAGAUAGGGUAUUCCUACAUAGCUGGUGGGACCCACGGCAAAUGGAUCAUAAAGUCUUCAAAAAAGAAUAGAUACGAUUGCAUUGCAUGUAGUAACAGAUGCAAACAUACCAGCAUUAAUGCACCAGAUCCCAUCAGAACUAUGUAGUUAAGCGUGCUUGGGCGAGAGUAGUUGAUAUGUCUAUAAUUUGCAUGUUUUACACAUCCUUUUAUCACCAUUUUGAGUAUAGUUUCAUCCAUCUUUCAUAGCAUUCACCAUCAUUUUUGUACAUUUUGCAUCUUUAGUCGAGUCUAGGACUAGUCUUGCAUACAUUUUGCAUUUUGGAGUUGUUUCAGGUGUUUUGGAGCUAUUGGUGCUCAGAAAGAGGGAAAACAGAACAGAAAGUGACACUUCCACCAAAAACACUCGAUCACCAGUAGCAGAGAGGAAAGCAGUCAGCUCAGUAGUCCAUCCAUACACUUCUACUCGACCGCAGAGGAGAGGAGGCAGUCCAUU
rnacentral:sRNA from 1 species